GCACCCCUGUUUCAGUUUAAAUAAUCGUUUAUUUGUUUGUUACGUUUUUUUGGAGCUGAACGUAGCCCAUCUUUGUGUUGAAAGGAGUGCAAUUAUACACAUGUAGGUGCAAAGCUCUUGUGCUCGGCGGGGCGGACGGACGGAGAGCGGCAGCCCUAAUGAAAUAGGCCUCGGUGACAGGCUGAUGAGGCCCGACCCGAUCAGACGGCUUUGAAAGGAAAUUCUGACAGGGCGGUGGAGGUUGCAGCCAGUAGCAACAAGAAGAAGAGAUGAGCUGUCUGUGGACCCAAGAAGGCAAGGAAGACACAGUACAGAUGCAUCAUGUUCAGUGAAGACAUCUGCAGCACACACUCAGUCAUGUUCUGUUCCUCAAAUUUGUGUUCAAUGAUUUCCUUGCAAUACUGUAUUUAAAAAUGUGUCUUUCCAGUUUGCUCAGUUAGAAGCAAACACAUUGUUAUUGAUGCAGACCUUGUUACAUUUGUUUAUUGAAGAUAACCGUGGUUUAUUCCACCACGCCUUUACUAUUAUGUAUAAAGUCCUUAUAUAUUAUUAUUAUUAUUACUAUUAUUAUUGUUGUUGAUAAUUCUGAUGUAGCAACUGUAAAUGGAAAAUAUUAACUAAUAAAUGAUGUCUAUAUUGCUUAAUUGAUAUGAAGUAAAACAUCUGUUAAGUAUUUUGACUUACACUGGAAUGGCGUUAUUGUACAAAAAUA